GGAUUAGGCAUGCAAGUCGAGCGAGAAGUCUUAGUUUGAAGCUUCGGCCGAUUUCUAAGAUGGACAGCGGCGAAAGGGAGAGUAAUGAGUGGAUUACCUACCCCCAGGACCGGGAUAGCUGUGGGAAACCGCAGGUAAUACCGGAUAAUAUCUCCGGAUCAAAUGGUGAGAUUCCGCCAGGGGAUGGGUCCGCUUCCUAUUAGCUUGUUGGUGGGGUAACGGCCUACCAAGGCAACAAUGGGUACCGGGUGUGAGAGCAUGGCCCGGCUCACUGGGACUGAGACACUGCCCAGACACCUACGGGUGGCUGCAGUCGAGAAUCUUCCGCAAUGGGCGAAAGCCUGACGGAGCGACGCCGCGUGCGGGAUGAAGGCCUUCGGGUUGUAAACCGCUGUCAGUUGGGAGGAAAUCUAUGAGGGUUAUCCCUCAUAGUUGACCUAUCUUCAGAGGAAGGACGGGCUAAGUUCGUGCCAGCAGCCGCGGUAAGACGAACCGUCCAAACGUUAUUCGGAAUCACUGGGCUUAAAGGGUGCGUAGGCGGCUUGGCAAGUUGGGUGUGAAAUCCCUCGGCUCAACCGAGGAACUGCGCUCAAAACUGCCAAGCUAGAGGAAGAUAGAGGUGAGCGGAACUAAUGGUGGAGCGGUGAAAUGCGUUGAUAUCAUUAGGAACACCUGUGGCGAAAGCGGCUCACUGGGUCUUUUCUGACGCUGAGGCACGAAAGCUAGGGUAGCGAACGGGAUUAGAUACCCCGGUAGUCCUAGCUGUAAACGAUGAGCACUAGGUUGGAGGCUCCUCCAUAGGUUUCCGA
rnacentral:rRNA from 1 species